UACGUAGGUGGCAAGCGUUGUCCGGAUUUACUGGGCGUAAAGAGCGCGCAGGCGGUCGAUCAAGUCGCGUGUGAAAGCCCCCGGCUCAACUGGGGAGGGUCACGCGAUACUGAUCGACUCGAAGGCAGGAGAGAGUAGUGGAAUUCCCGGUGUAGUGGUGAAAUGCGUAGAUAUCGGGAGGAACACCAGUGGCGAAGGCGACUACCUGGCCUGUUUCUUGACGCUGAGGCGCGAAAGCUAGGGGAGCAAACGGG
rnacentral:rRNA from 1 species